UAAAACCCCUCCGAACUCUCUAUAUCUAAUAAAACCACCAUGACUCUAUAUCGCGUCCUAAUUGGCUCCCUCCGCCACACAUCCCCUCUUUACACCACCUCUGCCCGUCAAACCCUAGCUCAAAAUCCAACCUUUCUUCUCCCAAUUCGCAAUUUUGCUUUAUCCUCAGCCGAAGAAGCCGCCGCCGAACGCCGUCGUCACAAUCGCCGCCUUCGCAUCGAACCAGAUGUAUGGCACAACUUGCUCAUAAGUCACUAUAAAGUUAGUAUCAUAUCCCUCUUAGUUUAAAGAUCAAUGUUUUAGCCCUUUUUUUCCUUUACACACUCCCACUGAGCUAAUGAUUUGCACUGAAAAACAGAGAUUGAGAGAGAAAUCCACAUAGAAUACCAUCAUUUUAUUACAGUUUGAAUGGUUUUGGGUGUUUUCAUGAACAUAUGAUGAAAUAUUUUGUGUAUUUACAUGAUGGGGUGCCUUUCUUUUUCUUCUUCAAUUUCAUAUGAGCCUGUAUGUCCUAUUAUCCUUAUACACACGUUAAUGAAAUAUCAUUAUUCAAUUAUAUAAUUUUAGUCAGAUGAAAAAAUAUCUCUUGAUUCUGGUUAAUAUUGUGAAUCAAUUUUAUUUUGAAUGUAUGGAUAGAGAUUCAUAUAUAGUCAUAUUCAUUUAGUCCUUCUAAGCUUUCAAGUUCCUGGUAGGUUUCUCUAGAAAUUUGAUCAAUUUUCCCCAUAUUUUUUUCUGGGUGCCUUGAACAUGUAUCGGAAUAUUUAUGAUGAUCUUUUUUUUUUCUUCAAAUGUUACGAGAAUUUGAUUAAUGGCUGCUUUAAGGUGACCUUGAAGAUAAUCAACUGUGCUGCAGACGUUGUUCAAGCGUUUUAGUAAGGAUAAUGUACAGAGUAUGGUAUAUAGUGGUGCGUUUUCUUUCUCAAGUUUGAUCUUCUUCAUUCUUUUGAUAACUUAAAAGUGCUACUAUGUUGUGUUUGAUGUAUCUUUCCUGUUUGGAACUGUUUGUUGCUAUCUGUGUUGAUUUUUUGUUGCUAUCUGGUGUUCUGCAGAGAGUUGGUUCUGCUGCUGGUAUGGUGAUUGUAAUCUCACAUACUUGGUGUUUUUGUUCAACAUCUCUAUCUGCAGUUGUGUGACCUCAAGUGUUUUGCCUUGGAAAUUAUGUCUAAUGUCAAAUCCUUUGCCUAACCAACUGUCAUUGUAUAUCUUCUUAGUUUGGGGUGCUUGUUUAUUGUUUCAAUAAAAUUUUCAUCUACCUUGUAAAACGUAGGAAAAAAAUUAUUCAAGUGUGGGUGUGGAGUUCCUUUUUUUGGGUAGAUUUAAGACCCCGCCCCAACUCCCCAGCUAGCAUGUAGAACCUUACAUUCUUUCAUAUUCCAUCUGUCAAGCUGAAAAAUGCAAAGCUUUGAACCCUCUUGUUGUGAAGUUUCAAACUCCUGUUCUUUCAAUACAUUUCUUUUAAGUUAAAUAAAGAAAGUUUAUUAGAAAGAAUAUUUUAUUGAACUGAGUAUGCACUUUUAAUACUGGAUCUGUGAUUACUCUUAUUCCUUUUCACGUUUUUGUCCCAUUUGUAUUCGUCAAAUAUUGAUUUUCCAUGCUUAAAAAUAGGAAAACAGCUGUUUACUUGUCAAAAACAUCUGUUUACUCGUCUAAAAAAUGAACACAUUCGUUUAUUUUGCUGGGUACAGAUUACGUUAGUUUCCUGUAAUCAGCUACUGUGGUUAAAAUCACGGCUUCAUGGAUAAAACUCAGAUACAGAGAGAUAAUAGCCUAUAUUUCCGGCUCAGAGAGCUUGAAUUGAUUAAGUUGAUUGAUACUUAAAGCUGCACUUCAUCAUCAUCAUAAAAGGCAUUUGAUUUGCUAGGUUCUUUUAUUGCAUAAAAUUUGCUAAUUUUCUAAUUUUACUGAUUGGACAUGGGUUACAUUUGAUUUGUCUGGCUUAAUUUGGCAUUCAGUGUGGGGAAUCAGGAAUGUGGGUGAAUUCUGACUUGGGGAUAUUUAUUGUCUUGAGGAAAAACUCAAAUCAAUCUGUCAUUUUUUUGGGGAUCUUGGUAAGGUAUUAAUUUGUCAACCAGGUUUGGAGUUCAGAGAUUACUUGUUCCUUUUGCCUUUCUUCUGGAAAAUCUAGCAGAAUUCCAAUUAUUUGCAGUUAAUUCCCAUGGGUAAGAAAACCCCUUAUUGUGGAUGAUGAUCCAUCACCCCAAUUUUGUAAAAAACUGUCACAAAAAUGUAACCUUUGAUGUUUUCAAUCUACAUACUGGUUGCUAGGAAUGAGCUGUGCUGGCUUUACUUGAAUUUUUAUUUCUCGUUGAAUGCCUCUGAUCAUGUUUAUUCAUAGAAUUGAAUCAGUUGUCUUGGUCUUAUGUUUAGCAUGCAUUCAUUCCAUAUAUUUGACCUGCAUUCCAUAUUUAGCAAGCAUUCAUUUUAUGUGUUAAACAUGUUGUUAGUAGUGUAUCUGUGUUGCUAGAUAUUAGAUCCAUAACAUCUAGAGGCUCAGAUUUGAAGAUUUACAAAAUUUGGAAUUUUUGUUUUUUGAUGUUUGACAACCAAAUAUCAGGUCCUACAUCUCUGUGAUCUUUAAUGGGUUUUGUGUUUUGAAAGUUUGUAGUUGUAGUCUGAUAUGUGCUCUUUGAUCUGGUCUUGAAAUCAGGCUUAGAUCAUAUGUAUAUUGCAAGUUAUGGAAGGUCAAACUGCGUUGAUCGACCAUGACUUGCAAAGUUUCUGGGUAACCCAGUUGUUCCCAGGUCGGUCCAACAACUUAUUUAUGGCCUUAGAUCUUACAGGUUUUAGCUUAUUUGUUGUUGUUGUAAUAGACUGGUAGCAUGGUAUAUGGACUUCAGUUUAAAGCUUUCAUAUCAUCUAAAUAACGUAUAGAUUUAUUGUAGUGGCCGGUCAAAGUAGCAUGGUCAAGCUUGAAAAUGGUUUUCUGGGUAACCCAGAAAACCUAUGAACACUGCCUCUGACAUAGUUUGACCGGCAUGUAUCUGCUUUAUUUGUUGAUGUUAUGACGAUUUUAUGUGAUAGAUCUGUAGUCGUAUGUGUUGUCUACAACCUGGAAUUAAUAUCACAAAAACAUUACACGGAUUGCAAUUUGUGGAAGCCCAAACAUGCAUGCUUGAACUGUUCUUCAUUUUUGGGCAACCCAGAAAUGAAGAACAGCCUCUGACAGCUACUUUAGGCCCUUAGAUUUCCUUUGUUAUGCAUGUUAUGAUUAUGUUUGUUGUUGAAUGCUGUAGUCCUGCACUAGCACUUUAAGAUCUGACCACAAGCAUGCCAUGAAACAUCACAGAUUGAGAAUAAAGUUUGGUCAAACUAGCUAGCUCGUGCACUGACUAGUUUUUUUGGGUUUUGAAGAUGAACAUGAACACCUAUAGCGACGGUUCUGUCGCUAUAGGUGGUCUUUAGCGACAGAUUAUUUAUAAAAAUUAUAUUUUUAUUAAAUAAUUAUAGAAAAUUAGUUUUUAAUUAUUAAAAAUACAAAAUAAAUUAUUAAAAAUUAUUUUAAAGUCUGAAAAUUAGUUUUUAAUUAUUUUAAGUAUAUUUCAUAAAUAAUUAAUAUUUUUGAAAUAUUAAAGGUAUUUAAUUUAUUUAAUUAUUAUAUUAAAUAAAUUCCUUAAAAAUGAUUUUAAAACUUGAAAAAUUAUUUAAAAUUAUAUAAUGAUAUAAGAAAAUAUUUUAAGUUAUUUUUAAUGACUUUUAAUAUUUUGUGAUGAAUUUCAUUAAUAAAUUAAUAUUAAUGAUAAUUAAGUUAUUUAAUAAAUGAAUUAAAUAAAUAAAUUAAAAAUGAUUUUAUUAUAUUAAAAAUCAUUUUAAAUAAUAAUAAGGUAUUUAAAAAUAUUUUAAGUUAUAAAAUAUAACUUUCAAUAUUUAAAGGUAAAUUUCAUUAAUUAAUUAUUAUUAAUGAUAUUAAAGUUAUUUAAUAAUUAUAUUAAAUAAUUUAGUUUAAAAAUGAUUUUAAUAUUAUAAAAAUCAUUUUAAAUGAAAAUAAAGUGUUUAAAGAUAUUUUAAGUUAUAAAAUAUAACUUUUAAUAUUUAAAGGAUAAUUUCAUUAAUAAUUUAAUAUUAAUGAUAUUAAUUUAAUAUUAAUGAUAUUAAAUUUAUUUAAUAAUUAUAUUAAAUAAAUAGUUUAAAAAUGGUUUUAUUAAUUUAAAAAUCAUUUAAAAAGGAUAUAAAUGAAUUAAAAAUAUUUUAAGUUAUAAUUAAUGACUUUUAAUAUUUUGAUAAAUAGUACAUUAAUAUUUAAAUAUUAAUGGUAAUUAUUUAAAAAUGAUUUUAAAUGUUUUAAAAAUCAUUUAAGGGUAAUAUUAAUACUUUAAAAAUAUUUUGAGUUAUUAUAAAUAACUUUAAUAUUUUGGCAAUGGUUUCAUUAAUAGUUUAAUAUUAAUUAAAUGUUAAUGAUAAUAGAAUUGUUUAAUAUUUAAAUCAUUUAAUUAUGAUUCCGAUGUUUGAAAAUUUAUGAUAAAUUAUAAUAAAUGUGUUAAAAUUAUUAUAAGUCAUUUAAAAAUAGUAUUGCUGAUACUUAUAGAUAUUGAGUUACAGAAUAGAGUCUUAGACUCGAUAAUUACCCGAUAAAGUUGUCGGUACACCGACAUAUUUCAGAAAUUGAUCUGGACUUAGAUAAUUUGAAUGUAUUAAUGUUUGUUUGUGAUCCAAUGACUGUUGAACAUUUGUGAUAAUGUGAUUAGGUUAUGUGCUGACUGCGAAAUGUAGUACUACGUGUUAUAGUAUAUUAUUCUAAUCGAACGAAUGAUCUGACACUACAAAAAAAUGGGCCUUUAGCAACGAUUUUUCGGGCAACGACUUAUAAAGUCGUUGCUAAAAGUAUAUGUUUAGCAACAAAAUUUGUCUUCGCUGCAGAUUGUGUCAGGCUUUCACUUUUUGCAACGAAAUUCAUAAGUCGUUGCAACAUUUCGUUACUAAUUCAUUGGCGGGAAAAAAUUUCGUUAGAAAUUCGUUGCAAAAUUUUCGGCCACUUGAUUUUCCGUCAUCGUGGGCAACGAAAGUUUUUUUGUAGCCAAAAAUGGGGCUUUAGCAACGAUUUUUCAGACAACGACUUUAUAAGUCGUUGCUAAAAGUGUAUGUUUAGCAACGAAACUUAUCCUUCGUUGCAGAUUGUGUCAGGCUUUCACUUUUUACAACGAAAUUCAUAAGUAGUUGCAAAUUUUGGAAACAAAGUUCGCUAGAAAUUCGUUGCAAAAUUUCUAACCACUUGAUUUCACCUCAUCGUGGGCAACGAAAGUUUUUUUGUUGCUAUAUUUCGUUGCCUAAUAUAAACCAUAUUCAUUGGCAACAAUUUUUAUUUUCGUUUCAUAUUUUAUGCAACUUUUUGCAACGACUAUUAACAUGUUGCCUUAAAUUAAGAUAAUAAUAAUAAUAAUAGUACUAAUAACAAUAACAAUAACAAUAACAAUAAUACUAGUAGUAGUAGUAGUAGUAGUAGUAGUACUAAUAAUAAUAAUUAUAAUAAUAACAGUAAUAAUAGUACUAAUAAUAAUAAUAAUUAUAAUAAUAAUAAUAGUACUAAUAAUAAUAAUAAUAAUAAUAAUAAUAAUAAUAACAAUAACAGUAAUAAUAAUAAUAAUAAUAAUAAUAAUAAUAAUAAUAAUUAUAGUUGAAGUCUUAUAUACUCCUUCAUUUCCAACGCCGAUGACAGAGAAUAAACAUAAAAAAAUAUUGAUGUUUGUAAACAAGUACAAGAGAUCAAAGAAAAAAAAAGAUUCCAAUGUCAGUUAAAGUGGUUUUACAUCUUACUCUUUUUUUCACAAAUUUACUUUAUAAUUUUAUUUUAAAAAGUUACAAUGCCGGUUAGUUUGGCAUUGGAUCAAAUUUUUAUUUUUUUAAAUUUCUUUAAAAAAAUAAAGAUAAUUUUUUUUUAAAUUCGUUUUUUAAAAAAAUAUUUUUAAAAGUGGCGUUGGUUGCCUUUCUGAUUUUUAGCCAAAAAAAUUCCAAAAAUUCAAAGCCAUUUCAAAUGGCGUUUAGUAGUUUUUUUCAAAUUAGAUGUGAGAGCCUUUACUCCCAACGACAGUCGUUGAAAUUUUUAUUUUUUAAAAAAUGUUCGUUUAAAAAUAAAAAAAGAUUUAACACACCAAGGAUUGAUCCAUCGAAUUAUUAUAUUGGGGUUCUAUCUAUAUAUUGACUUUAUCUAAAGAACUCAUUAUUGAUAACUCUAUAGUGCAAACUUUGAUUCAUACCAAUUUUACAAAAAAAAAAUCUAAUUUUUUAUCCAUAUAAAUCAUUAUAUAAAGUCUUUAGAAAACAACAAAAAUCAUUAGUGUGGCAAUUGAAAUUUUUUAAUUUUUUUUUAAUUAGUAGUAUUUCCCCUAAUUAAUUAAUUAAUUAAUUUUCUUUUUUGUUUAGUCAAAAGAGUUCAGUGGUAGUCACUUCUCCCUUCGUUUCAUAAGGUUUAAGAAAAGGCAAAUCCUAAAACCCCUCCGAAUUUCCAAUUCUCCUUCCAAAUUAGGAUUCUCUCUAUAUCUAAUAAAACCACCAUGACUAUAUCGCGUCCUAAUUGGCUCCCUCCGCCACACAUCCCCUCUUUACACCACCUCUGCCCGUCAAACCCUAGCUCAAAAUCCAACCUUUCUUCUCCCAAUUCGCAAUUUUGCUUUAUCCUCAGCCGAAGAAGCCGCCGCCGAACGCCGUCGUCACAAUCGCCGCCUUCGCAUCGAACCAGAUGUAUGGCACAACUUGCUCAUAAGUCACUAUAAAGUUAGUAUCAUAUCCCUCUUAGUUUAAAGAUCAAUGUUUUAGCCCUUUUUUUCCUUUACACACUCCCACUGAGCUAAUGAUUUGCACUGAAAAACAGAGAUUGAGAGAGAAAUCCACAUAGAAUACCAUCAUUUUAUUACAGUUUGAAUGGUUUUGGGUGUUUUCAUGAACAUAUGAUGAAAUAUUUUGUGUAUUUACAUGAUGGGGUGCCUUUCUUUUUCUUCUUCAAUUUCAUAUGAGCCUGUAUGUCCUAUUAUCCUUA
rnacentral:lncRNA from 1 species